GGACUGGCCGCCCAGCAACACCACUGGACCCCAGGGAAUCCCCUCAGCAAUUCUAAAGGUAGGGAGGCUGGGGGAUCACAUUUUUAAAACAACAUGUGUGUGUGUGUUAGUUUUUGUGUCAGUGUGUGUCUGCUAGUGAGUGUCAGUGAGUGUGUUAGUUUGUGUCUGUUAUUGAGUGUGUGUCUGCUAGUGAGUGUCAGUGUGUGUGUUAUUUUGUGUGUCGGUGAGUGUCUGACUGAGUGUGUUAGUUUGUGUGUGUUUGUUAGUGAGUCUGUUUGAUGACUGUUAGUGAGUGUAUGUUUUGUAAAUGAGUGUGUAUGUGUGUCUGUCUGUCAGUGAGUGUGUAUGUAUGUCGCUGAGUGUGUCUCUGUAAGUAAAUGUGUGUCUGUUAACUAGUGUGUAUUCAUCUGUUCGUGAGAGUGUGUGUAUGUGCAUAAAACCCUUUCAGCACUUACCUUUCUCCAGCGCCGGACUCCCUUGGCGCUGGGGAUCCCUCCGUCC